CCACCUCCGAAGGAUGGAGGGGGUAUACAGCGAAAGAAGCGAGCAAGGGGUCGUCCCAUCCUGGGUUACUGAAGAGUCGUCCGACUGCUCGGUGACCGAAUCAGAGGGGUUUUUACCGCUUUCUCUUCUCUCCAGCACUCUCGGACUGAUCAUCUUACUGCAACAAAGCAAGCUUAGGAAUGAAUCUAAUGGAAAUUUAGGUCUCUGUCCGCUUGGAAGAUUCUUCUUUCCUCUUCGGUGAAAGAGGGCAAAGGUGUGUGGGAGAAAGAAGUCUAAAAGGAGAGAAGAUUUCGUCCACCAAGCGGGUUUUUUUAGAGUGCGACCCCUAAGCAAUUGGAGGUUCUCGUCCAUCUCUUGGGGGUCCAUAUCAUCUGAAAACUUUUCCUCUUCGAUUAGCAUAGCUAAGAAUAGGAUGACUCAGCGUCAGGAAAAGUCAAGUAAGUAAGCCCCCCCUUUUGCCUUGAAAGAAUUUUCUUUCGCUGCGCCCUGAAUCAAUCAAAAAGCUUCUUUUUUUUUAUUUGAUUCAUCCCAUUUAAUUUGGGCGAGAGGGAGGCUGUGAGUCACCUGGGCUACGGAUUUGCCGGUUGAUUCUCGAAAUCACCUCUUGAUAAAAAAAAAAGGCCCUCGGUCCCGACCAAAAAAUGAAUAGGAAGCGGGGCGGGCGAGGGUCUUUCAUUAAAGGGGGGAAAAGAGGGGUGGGGCUUUGUUCUGGGGGUGGGGCCGCCUUGCGCAGCUUUAGAAAGGAGAGAAUUUCAGUUCAGAAAGUCACUCUCUCCAACCUUUUCUAUCUAUCCUUAGAAGUUGGGCGAGAUAAAGUCAAUAUGAUAUUUGCGUUGGUUUUUCCAACGAAACUAAGCACUUUUUUUUCUUUAUCAUUCGGAAGGCUCAGUCCCACACUCUGACUUCAAUGAUGGGAACAACCUCCGCACUCCGGCGCUCCAAUGAACAACAGUUCUCCGCCUGACUUUAUUUAGUUAGAAUAGUGGUCGAUCCCUCGGGAGUUACAUUCGUAACUUAAUGUUAUGUUCACGCGGUGAUCUUAUAUCCAAGAGUACUACCCUGUACGUAGUCUAUGUCUGGGGAGCAUACUUGACAGGAGAUAGACACAGGCGGUAGAGAGGUCCCCCACUUCGAUUCCUGCCCCGUUAGCAUCUCCGAUCCGAGAUAAGGGAUUACUCCGUUAGGUCUUUUCUAGCUUAGGAGCCGGCCGGUAAUGGACCUACUUACUGUGGACCAGCUGCAGAGCUAACCCUUGUUCUAUUGGUUUGGCGG
rnacentral:sRNA from 1 species